rnacentral:sRNA from 1 species
GCCCGUGUGGUACGCUGGCGGUAUUGGAAACAACUGCAACGCUCUGAAAGGCGUAGGACAGCUAACCCAUUCGGGUUU